CGCGUAGGCGGUUUUUUAAGUCAGGUGUGAAAUUCCGAGGCUCAACCUCGGAGCUGCACUUGAAACUGAGAGACUUGAGGAUAGGCGGAGAAAACGGAAUUCCACGUGUAGCGGUGAAAUGCGUAGAUAUGUGGAAGAACACCGGUGGCGAAGGCGGUUUUCUAGCUUAUUCCUGACGCUGAGGCGCGAAAGCAAGGGUAGCGAACAGGAUUAGAUACCCUGGUAGUCC
rnacentral:rRNA from 1 species